rnacentral:rRNA from 1 species
GACGAACGCUGGCGGCGUGCUUAACACAUGCAAGUCGAACGGAAAGGCCCUGCUUUUGUGGGGUGCUCGAGUGGCGAACGGGUGAGUAACACGUGAGUAACCUGCCCUUGACUUUGGGAUAACUUCAGGAAACUGGGGCUAAUACCGGAUAGGAGCUCCUGCUGCAUGGUGGGGGUUGGAAAGUUUCGGCGGUUGGGGAUGGACUCGCGGCUUAUCAGCUUGUUGGUGGGGUAGUGGCUUACCAAGGCUUUGACGGGUAGCCGGCCUGAGAGGGUGACCGGCCACAUUGGGACUGAGAUACGGCCCAGACUCCUCCGGGAGGCAGCAGUGGGGAAUAUUGCACAAUGGGCGGAAGUCUGAUGCAGCAACGCCGCGUGCGGGAUGACGGCCUUCGGUUGUAAACCGCUUUCGCCUGUGACGAAGCGUGAGUGACGGUAAUGGGUAAAGAAGCACCGGCUAACUACGUG